UCAUAACCUAGUCGAGAGGCAUUUUUAUUGUUCGAUUUAAACAUAUAACCAAAUACGAGUGUUUUAUACUACCUUGAUUUAUCGUGUCUGUAAGUUAUACCGUUUUUACGUAACUUUAUAUGGAAUUCGGAACAUUGUAAGUUGGUUUCUGGGAACUUUGCCGGAGAACAGUUGGUGCCUUACAGUUAACUUUGACUUGUAAUAUAUUGUAAGACUAUGCGUCCCAGUUUUGUUUUCAAUAUUAUUGCUUACGGGAAGAAGGAUAUUGCGGAAAUUAGCCGGGAUAAGUUCUAAGGUAGUGCUGUGUACAAGUGGACUGCGCUGCUUCAGUUGGAAUUUCACACCAUCCAGAUCCAGGAAUAUAAUCCUGUACACGAUUCCUAACUCUUUGUUGUUGUGACUUCUUUAUCCCCUAGAUACUGUGUUGGAAGUUAACCAACGACCACAGGUAGCGGAUACACAGGUACUACCUAUACCAACACCCUGGAGGUCUUUAUGAAGAAACAAACUGAGGCAAUACAUUGAUGACGUCAAUGAACACAUAACGAGAAACGACUUACGGUCGAAUAUUUAUUUAAGUUACAGUAGUGGAAAACGAAAUUGUGUGUGCUGAUAUCAGUUGAAAACUUAACCAGUAAAAUGAACCUAACCCUGUCAUGACGCCAUCAGUCGUGGAUCACUAUUACCGGCUAGUUUCUCGUACUAAUUUAAUACCUCAAUUAUGUUUUGUAUUUUUAGAUUUAAUCCAGAUAGGAAAAAACUAAGAUUAAUAUGUUUAAAUAUAAAAAUCUAGUACAGAUCCUACAACAUUGUCUAGUUUAAUC